rnacentral:rRNA from 1 species
UACAGAGGGUGCGAGCGUUAAUCGGAAUUACUGGGCGUAAAGGGCGCGUAGGCGGUUAAAUAAGUUAGAUGUGAAAUCUCCGAGCUUAACUUGGAAACGGCAUAUAAUACUGUUUAGCUAGAGUAGAAUAGAGGGGAGUGGAAUUUCCGGUGUAGCGGUGAAAUGCGUAGAUAUCGGAAAGAACACCAGUGGCGAAGGCGGCUUCCUGGAUUCAUACUGACGCUGAGGCGCGAAAGCAUGGGGAGCAAACAGG